CAUCACUAUCUAUGCAUCCCUUUUCUGUACCACUUAUCCUCAUUAGGGUCACCGCCCUGCCAGAACCUAUCCCAGCUGACUGGGCGAGAGGCGGUGUACACCCUGAACAGCGGAAGUUUGGGGUUGCCGAGCAACAGGUGAUUGCGGCGGUUCCACAACAGACGCGAAAGGCUGUUGAAAUAAGGUUAAAGGGAUACAUCGUUUCGAUGCAGAGAGCCAAAGAGCAAUUCGAAGUUGAGGAGGUAGGAGAACAAACCGAUCCGCCGGAUGACAAUCAACAGGAAGAAAACUACGUUGGAGCAAAUAGGUCUCCUCGACAGACAGGAUCAGAACCUGUUGAUGCGGGCCCACAGUCUCAAGAUGAUGCGACCGGUGCUGAAGGAGACCCUGCAGCAACCAGACAUGCUGGGCAUAGCAGUACUUCGCAGGGUGGAUCACCAAUCCACUUUUCAAACUCAUCAGAGGAAACCGAACCACCGACUGAGGAUGAGGAGGAACUCACUGUUCUUGACGCUGAACACCCUCUGGUUGCAAAGAAGCAAGCUGCACUGAAGAAUCAACUCACCAAGGAGCUGGAGAGGCUCACACUGGAUCUAAGAGAAGAGGUGGCAACUGAGAAGGCAGAGGCGAGCCAAACUGAGGAAAUCUACGUGCAGUUGUUCAGGGAACAGGAGCGCCUAAAAAGGCUCCAGACAAGAUUAGAUGACCAACAACAGAAUAAGGUCUUGGCCGAAGGCAAACAUCGUGAAGUAAACGAUGAACUUGAGGCAGUAAAGUCUUUCCAGUCUUGCACAACGAGCCAGUGCGAGACGACCAGGGCCAAUGUAUCCAACCUACAAAUGGAGGUAGACAAACUGCAAUCGCACCUCCGUUUUACGCAAGAAGUCAGUGAAAAUCUCCGUUCCAACGUAAAAGCCAUGAAGAACGUCACCCGCAGAACGGCGGCAAAGAAGUCCCAAGCGGAAGACCAGAAACUCACGCAGGAUAUCUAUGUGGAGCGCCUCACAAAGUGCUUGGAGAGACUGACACAACAGAAGGAAUUGUACGGGGUCCAGACCAAAGCCCAGGCAGAGACAACAUGGGCAACCAAAGAGGCUCUUUCUGAGGCAGAAAUUCAAAUGGUGUCUCUGGCGAUGUCACAGAAAAAGCUUUUACAGCAGUGGAACAGGAGCUUAGUGGAUUUGAGGAGACGAGAUGAAGACUUCACAGCUUUGCAGGAGGCUAUUAGCAUGGCUGAGCACCAAAUAAUCGUGCUGGACAGAGAGAUUGAAGGCAUGAAGAAAUCCAUCGCUGAGCUUCAGGAGGAAAGUGAGACUCUGACCAUGCUGCUUAACUGCACCCAUUUGGACUGUGAAGUCUCCAAAAAGAUGAUUAGUCAGAAGCAGACUCAACAUGAAAACUUGCAGGCCCAAUACAGCACUUACCUGCGUGCUCUGGGCCAGACAGAGCGCACACUCGCAGAACUCACAAAGGAGGACAGCGUUCUUCAGGCCGAGGUGACAGAUCGGAGGCGACAGCUGGAGAAAAACAAAGACAAGCACCUGGAGUUAGAGAACGGCAUCAUGAACCAAAUGCUGCAGAAGCUCAUGGACAACAAGGCUGCUCAGUACUAUCAGCGACUCACCAACAAGAAAGCCUCACUCAAGAAAGAGAAGGUCUAUCAGCUGUGGCUUUUGGAAAGUGAGGUAAUGGCAGCUACGGUGGAAAGCAAUGUGAUCAAUGAGAAACUGCAAAACCUGGCCCGAACUCAGAAGGAGCUGGACGGGGAAAUCACAAAGUACAACAAGGUGGUCGCAUCUAACCAGGCUGAAAGUUCUUCCAUCGAUGCGCUCAUCACACAGAAACAGGCCGCUAUUGUAAAUUACAACAAAAAAAAGGAUCUCAUCACUGCACGCACUGGGCAUGAAGACCUCAGUCCUUUGCAAGUCAAGGUAGAGGCAAUGAAGACUCAAACUGAGGAAUUAUCGGAAAAAAUAAAAAAUGAUCAGCAGCUAUGGCUGAAGCAUCAGGGAGACCUUGUUGGACUGACGCUACAGGUUCAGGCGCACAAUAGUGAAUACAACAAACUUCAGGCAAAGUACACUGUGAUCUGUCAGAAGAAGAUUUAUCUGGAGCGCCAGCUUGAAGUCAUGCGCCGUGAGGAGAAUGAGGUGGAGAAGCGCAAUAAGAUGCUUGAAAGAGACCUGCUGAAGCUCAACACUUUUCUGAGCAAGAACGUCCAGCUGCGACAGGCUUUGGAGCAGGAGAACGCCGCGAUGGAGAGCGACUUCCUUCACAAACUUAAGGAGGCAGAACGGGUGUCUGUAGAGAUGGAGGUGAAGCUGGAGAAGACACAGGCGGAAAAAGAGAAACUUCUCAGCAGUUUGGUGGAGGCUGAGCGACAAAUCAUGCUGUGGGAAAAGAAGUCUCACCUCAUGAAAGAGACACGUUUAAUCGUGGAAGAGGGUCAUGGAGACCUCCAGAUAAUGAAAGAUGACAUUCACCGUAUGGAGCGGCAGCUCAAUCAGCUGAUGAAGCACCGCGAGCAGCUGGUGAGGAAGAGCGUCGCAGGCGUGGAGAGGAGGGGCAACAUCAUCGAACGCCACGAUGCCAUGGCCCGCAGCACUAAAAAGCAAAUUACGAAAGGCGAGCUAGAUCUGGUGAAUAAUGGCUUGCGCCGCAAAGUCAAGGAAACGCAAAAGUUAUAUUUUGUUUUUAAGAUGGUCAAAGAGUGGGACCAGGAGAUCAAAGAACUGCAGGAGAGCCGAGUGAAUCUGAGCAACAUUGUUAAACUUCAGAAACAGCAGCUGAUGGACCUGUCUGGCACCAGUGGGGUCCUUGAGACUGAUCUAGACAAGAUCCAGGAUACCAAAGGCAGGGACCAAGCUCACCUGAUGGAAUUUCAAAACAAGGCUAAGAAACUCCAAGAGGUGGCGGACGGAACCUAUCGACCCUCAUCCUCAUCCAGUCAAUCGGUGGAAGCUGCUACGCACAGCCAAAUGGAGCGCGUGCGCGCCAUCAGGACGGUUAUUCACCGCGUGUGUGAGGAGUUCCCCGAUCACCGAGCUGCUCUCAGUGUUGUCUUACAGUCGUUGGCAGCAGGCGCACACGGUCCAGAGCAGGAAGCCAACGUGUGAAAUGCAAAAUUAGAGGGAGCACCGAAGAUCCACAGGAAAGUUGCAGCGAGGCAGUUGUGACGUCUACAGUUGUUCAACUUAAAACAAAGGAUGUUCACCUGAUGACAUGCGGUGGGAGCAAGAUGGAAUGUUAAUGAUGCAAUGCAAAAAGCACCGGAACUGGACCAAGUCAUCAAUGAUGAGUUCCGCAGUGAUGCACCAAAGGGAGCUACUAUGGAUCUUUUUCGCAUUGGAGAUGAGUCAGAUGUGUCAUGAUCCUGCCGCUUCAGCACGAGCUGUGCGGCUGCGCUGAUUGGGAGGCACACACCUGUGCCUCAUGCGGCCUGAUCAUCCCCCGUAUAUAUAGGACCCGGUGACGACUGGCCGGCGCCAGUUCGUUGAGCUUUAUGUCCCGUUCCAGCACUCUCGAAUUCCUGACUGAACCUGUGUGUACCGACCUUCGUCCGUUCUCCGACCAACCUUGCAAGCCUGACUCCUUGAUCCUUCUGCCUGCGUGGAUUGUUUCCCCGUGUACCGACUCCUGCCUGUCCGCUCAUCUGUUCUCGUCGCCCGACGUCACAACUACCGCUGCUGCACCGGACUGCCUGCUCGAUCCCCGACCUCUGCGUACAAUAAACGUGUCUCUUCUUGAACUACCUUGCGUCUUCCGAGUUCCUGCAUUUGGGUCCUACCUCUCGUUCCGAUGGGACGUGACAAGAUGAUUCUUUUGAAGGCUUGGCCAAGGAUGUGUAAUAGCUGGUUAAACUGCACUAUGCACAAACGUUUUGUGCACAAAUAUUUAAUGCAAAAAAUGUUCAAGUUAAACAUUGGUAAAUAGUUUAUAUUUUUAAGACUGUAAAAUUUGUUAUCAACAGUAUUAAUAAAACGUGCCAUCCUUGAGCAUUUAUUUUCAUUGGUUGAGGGAUUCGGUUCUGACAAUUACAGGGAUCAGGACAAGCGUGUCCUGUGGCCUGUCCAGAGAUUAUAUUACGGCUACAUCAGCACAUGCAAAAUGAUUAUUAUUAAUGAUUGUUGUACAGGCAGUUUUUCAAAAAACAAUACAAGUACAAACCUUACAAAAUACACAGAUCAUUCCAAAUAUUUUUGAGCAUAUGGGUCGCAGCAAAUUGGUGGUGCGCAUUGUACAUUGGUAGAAGGGUUUUCCUGGUAUUUGGGGACAACCUUGAGGGUGCGCAUUAUACUUCGGGAUGCAUUGUACUCGAGAAAUUACGGUACUUGCUAUGUACAGGGGUGCAGCAGAAAAUGUUCCCAUUUCACAAAAUAUCUCGGAUAAUAUCAUUUAACAAUAAUUAUGUAGCUAAUUAAAUGCUCUUCCAUUAUUCUACAAUAAACAGGAAGUCAUGGCUUUCUGAAAUUCCAUGCAUUGUUCAAUCUAGCC